UAUUGCUUACAUUAAUUUUGUAUUUGGGAGAUACCUACCGAGCGGUGGUGCUGACUUUAAAUGAGUAUUAAGAGUGCAACGGAAAUUAAGAGAAAAACGUUGGUACUCACGUUUUUAAAGUGGCAUCUCGUUUCAAAGAUUUUUAAAGACACAACUCACCUUCUACCUUUGACUUAGUGUACAACAAAUAUAUCUGAGUGUCAGCUCAGAAUGUAUGGAGAUGCAGAUGCAGAGAUGCAUGGUAUACGAGUAUACAACGUUUUUAGGGAUUAGGUAUACUUAGCGUUUAUAAUAGUUAAGAUAGACAAUAGACAGUAGCACCUGCGUUUUUUUCAAUUAAAAAAGGAACAGGAAAUUAUAGGGAGUAAAAGGAGGUACAGGGAUAGAGAGACAGAGACAGAUAAAGAAAGAGAGAGAUGGGCACGAACAGAUACACAUAUAAGGAAUUUAAGGUAAAUGGAGAAACAUUUAGACUAACAUUCAUGCCAAAUCAAGAAGGCUAAACGUAGACAGAGA